CUCAGCGUAGCUUAAAAUGAAAGCGUUAGGCUUACAACCAAACCAUACCGAACACUCGGCCACUGAGA
rnacentral:tRNA from 1 species